UUAGUCACGGUGAUACUGAACACUGUCUUGAAAUAUAUGUUGGAAAUAUUGGAUCUGAUAUCUCCAAUACAGAAAAUGAAAGGCUCUAUAUGAAGGACUGGCCCGCGCUAGAGAAAGCUGCAGCUACAAUUAUCAGUUCAACUACUUGCAUCUUUAUUAUCUUACAACAGAUUUCUGAAGAUGAUGUAACUCAGAUCUCAGAUAUUAGGAUAUCUGGAUAUAAACCUAAACUUUACAUUCUUAUUGGUCAACAACUAGAAACCAUCUCUUUUAGUCUAGG